ensembl:rRNA 5S_rRNA 5S ribosomal RNA
GCCUACGACCAUACCACCCUAAACAUGCCCGAUCUCGUCUGAUCUCGGAAGCUAAGCAGGGUCGGGCCUGGUUAGUCCUUGGAUGGGAGAAAAUCUGUUUUAAAGCUUGGAUGAUGUUGUAU